rnacentral:rRNA from 1 species
UGGCGGACGGGUGAGUAAUACGUGGGUAACCUGCCUGUAAGACUGGGAUAACUCCGGGAAACCGGAGCUAAUACCGGAUAGUUCCUUGAACCGCAUGGUUCAAGGAUGAAAGACGGUUUCGGCUGUCACUUACAGAUGGACCCGCGGCGCAUUAGCUAGUUGGUGAGGUAACGGCUCACCAAGGCGACGAUGCGUAGCCGACCUGAGAGGGUGAUCGGCCACACUGGGACUGAGACACGGCCCAGACUCCUACGGGAGGCAGCAGUAGGGAAUCUUCCGCAAUGGACGAAAGUCUGACGGAGCAACGCCGCGUGAGUGAUGAAGGUUUUCGGAUCGUAAAGCUCUGUUGUUAGGGAAGAACAAGUGCAAGAGUAACUGCUUGCACCUUGACGGUACCUAACCAGAAAGCCACGGCUAACUACGUGCCAGCAGCCGCGGUAAUACGUAGGUGGCAAGCGUUGUCCGGAAUUAUUGGGCGUAAAGGGCUCGCAGGCGGUUUCUUAAGUCUGAUGUGAAAGCCCCCGGCUCAACCGGGGAGGGUCAUUGGAAACUGGGAAACUUGAGUGCAGAAGAGGAGAGUGGAAUUCCACGUGUAGCGGUGAAAUGCGUGGAGAUGUGGAGGAACACCAGUGGCGAAGGCGACUCUCUGGUCUGUAACUGACGCUGAGGAGCGAAAGCGUGGGGAGCGAACAGGAUUAGAUACCCUGGUAGUCCACGCCGUAAACGAUGAGUGCUAAGUGUUAGGGGGUUUCCGCCCCUUAGUGCUGCAGCUAACGCAUUAAGCACUCC